GACGAACGCUGGCGGCGUGCUUAACACAUGCAAGUCGAACGGAAAGGCCCUGCUUUUGUGGGGUGCUCGAGUGGCGAACGGGUGGGUAACACGUGAGUAACCUGCCCUUGACUUUGGGAUAACUUCAGGAAACUGGGGCUAAUACCGGCUCGGAGCUCCUGCUGCAUGGUGGGGGUUGGAAAGUUUCGGCGGUUGGGGAUGGACUCGCGGCUUAUCAGCUUGUUGGUGGGGUAGUGGCUUACCAAGGCUUUGCAGGGUAGCCGGCCUGAGAGGGUGACCGGCCACAUUGGGACUGAGAUACGGCCCAGACUCCUACGGGAGGCAGCAGUGGGGAAUAUUGCACAAUGGGCGGAAGCCUGAUGCAGCAACGCCGCGUGCGGGAUGACGGCCUUCGGGGUGGAAACCGCGUUCGCCUGUGACGAAGCGUGAGUGACGGUAAUGGGUAAAGAAGCACCGGCUAACUACGUG
rnacentral:rRNA from 1 species